rnacentral:tRNA from 1 species
UUUAAAGUAGGAUAAGUAUUCUAUUAGCUUUCAAAGUUAAAGGUGAGAAAU